AAGUAAAUCGUGAAAGAUGUCAACGCAGGCGUAAAUGGAGUUUGUUUUGUUACAUGAUCUACGGCUAUUUCAUCACCAAAGCUCCUGAUAACAGAUCAAAGCAGAUGGAUAGGGCAUACAGAGUCGCCGUUUAAUUUAAAAUAUCUUCGUGAUCGGCAAACGCAUCAAACAGCAAGUGUUUCUCUUCCAACAGCACGUACCAUCGGUGGAUCAAGCAGCUAACGAUUUGAUCGCCAGUACGCGCCAUCAAGAAUUGAUAUUUUGCCAAACAGUACUGUGAAUAAAAAACU